AGGAGCAACAGCCCCAGUGGCGGGGCCGCUCUGGAAACCUGGAUUCAGCCCCCGCAGGAACUCCAUCUGCAGGGCCUGGAGGCUCCGGGCGGGG
rfam:Canis lupus familiaris chromosome 6, whole genome shotgun sequence.